rnacentral:sRNA from 2 species
AUGUCCCCCUGUACACGGCGGUUCCGGCGGGCUGUCCGCGCCCACCCGACAGCGCCUCGCGACGUUUUGUUAGCC